rnacentral:lncRNA from 1 species
CUUCGCAUCACUAGUAUCGACAGUAUCUUAAGCGCAGCGAUUAAAAAUGGAGCAAAUUAGUAAUAUAAAAUUCGUACAAGAAGAGAUAUCACUGACAAAGCUUGGAGUGAAGUCGGCAAAGUAGUAGAUCUCACAGUGUGUGAGUGCAAGGAGAAAUGGAAGAAUCUUUGCUCUGUUUAUGUCCGGCAUAUGAAACCCUCUCCCAGUGGUUCAGGCACCAAAAAAAAAAAGCCAUAUUACUUGGCAGAAGUCAUGCAGUUUACACUUCCUUUCAUCAAAACGUUAUGUACACCAGCUGUAAAUUUACCCCCAAAACCCCAGCCAACUGUCUACACUAGAUCCGGAACAAGAUUCGUCUGCAGAUGGCUUACCGGCUGAAGAAGAAAAUUCGGACUCUUUAGUACAGAAUCAAUCACAAACCGAAGAGCUGCCAGCAACACCCACCCCUUCCAGCCAGUUACCCGAAAGUUCAUCACAAAUUACAGAAACUGGACAUUUUCAGGAAGUACCAAGUGAUUCUACUAGGUCUCACCUAUGUAUAACAACCCGAAAAGCUCAGAAACGGACAAUUCCAGACGGAGAUAAGGCGUUCGAAAGCUAUCUACAAGACUUUGCGAUACCUCAAAUGAAAGGGACAAAAAACCAGAAGAUGGGAAAUGAACAUUUUUACUCAGUCUCCUGCCUGAGAUUGAACCCAUGACGAACACUCAAAUGAAGGCAUUCAGGCGUAGAGUUUUGCAACUUGUUGAUGAUAUCAUCAGUCCGGCUCCAUAUGUACCUCUGAGUGUACAAACCUAUCAACAGACCCCAACCUACUCGCUUAUGAUUUCACCACAUUCAUCAAUAUCUACUGCUACCAAUAAUUAAGUUUCUGACAGUUUAUCACCCCAAAAAGAAAUGCCAAACGAAACAGAUGUUGCCAAAAACGAUUAUUAUAGCGUUGUUCGAGAAGCUUUAGGACAGUGAACUGGAUAUAAUAUUAUGAUAUCUUGUAUUCUAUUAUAAUUUCUACUGUGUACCUAUUUUCACAUUUUCCAUAAAAAAAACUUAAUAAAGAAUAUUAAGAAGCAA